rfam:Agrilus planipennis Contig72781, whole genome shotgun sequence.
UCGUAGAACGGUCUGAGGUAGAGGGGUUUUAGUCGGUAGGUCCGAUGACAUCGUCCUCAGGAAUCCGAUACUACCCAGUUGUGAUGGAGGGCUGGGUGUCUUUUGAAGAUUUCCCCUCUUCCACGA